GGUUAAGUUAGAAAGGGCGCACGGUGGAUGCCUUGACACUAGGAGUCGAUGAAGGACGGGACUAACGCCGAUAUGCUUCGGGGAGCUGUAAGUAAGCUUUGAUCCGAAGAUUUCCGAAUGGGGAAACCCACCAUACGUAAUGGUAUGGUAUCCUUAUCUGAAUACAUAGGGUAAGGAAGACAGACCCAGGGAACUGAAAAACAUCUAAGUACCUGGAGGAAGAGAAAGCAAAUGCGAUUUCCUGAGUAGCGGCGAGCGAAACGGAACAUAGCCCAAACCAAGAGGCUUGCCUCUUGGGGUUGUAGGACAUUCUAUACGGAGUUACAAAGGAACGAGGUAGACGAAGCGACCUGGAAAGGUCCGUCGUAGAGGGUAACAACCCCGUAGUCGAAACUUCGUUCUCUCUUGAAUGUAUCCUGAGUACGGCGGAACACGUGAAAUUCCGUCGGAAUCUGGGAGGACCAUCUCCCAAGGCUAAAUACUCCCUAGUGAUCGAUAGUGAACCAGUACCGUGAGGGAAAGGUGAAAAGCCCCGGAAGGGGAGUGAAAGAGAUCCUGAAACCGUGUGCCUACAAAUAGUCAGAGCCCGUUAACGGGUGAUGGCGUGCCUUUUGUAGAAUGAACCGGCGAGUUACGAUCCCGUGCGAGGUUAAGCUGAAGAGGCGGAGCCGCAGCGAAAGCGAGUCUGAAUAGGGCGUUUAGUACGUGGUCGUAGACCCGAAACCAGGUGAUCUACCCAUGUCCAGGGUGAAGUUCAGGUAACACUGAAUGGAGGCCCGAACCCACGCACGUUGAAAAGUGCGGGGAUGAGGUGUGGGUAGCGGAGAAAUUCCAAUCGAACCUGGAGAUAGCUGGUUCUCCCCGAAAUAGCUUUAGGGCUAGCCUUAAGUGUAAGAGUCUUGGAGGUAGAGCACUGAUUGGACUAGGGGUCCUCAUCGGAUUACCGAAUUCAGUCAAACUCCGAAUGCCAAUGACUUAUCCUUAGGAGUCAGACUGCGAGUGAUAAGAUCCGUAGUCAAAAGGGAAACAGCCCAGACCGCCAGCUAAGGUCCCAAAGUGUGUAUUAAGUGGAAAAGGAUGUGGAGUUGCUUAGACAACUAGGAUGUUGGCUUAGAAGCAGCCACCAUUUAAAGAGUGCGUAAUAGCUCACUAGUCGAGUGACUCUGCGCCGAAAAUGUACCGGGGCUAAAUACACCACCGAAGCUGCGGAUUGAUACCGAAUGGUAUCAGUGGUAGGGGAGCGUUCUAAGGACAGUGAAGUCAGACCGUAAGGACUGGUGGAGUGCUUAGAAGUGAGAAUGCCGGUAUGAGUAGCGAAAGACGGGUGAGAAUCCCGUCCACCGAAUGCCUAAGGUUUCCUGAGGAAGGCUCGUCCGCUCAGGGUUAGUCAGGACCUAAGCCGAGGCCGACAGGCGUAGGCGAUGGACAACAGGUUGAUAUUCCUGUACCACCUCUUUAUCGUUUGAGCAAUGGAGGGACGCAGAAGGAUAGAAGAAGCGUGCGAUUGGUUGUGCACGUCCAAGCAGUUAGGCUGAUAAGUAGGCAAAUCCGCUUAUCGUGAAGGCUGAGCUGUGAUGGGGAAGCUCCUUAUGGAGCGAAGUCUUUGAUUCCCCGCUGCCAAGAAAAGCUUCUAGCGAGAUAAAAGGUGCCUGUACCGCAAACCGACACAGGUAGGCGAGGAGAGAAUCCUAAGGUGUGCGAGAGAACUCUGGUUAAGGAACUCGGCAAAAUGACCCCGUAACUUCGGGAGAAGGGGUGCUUUCUUAACGGAAAGCCGCAGUGAAUAGGCCCAAGCGACUGUUUAGCAAAAACACAGCUCUCUGCGAAGCCGUAAGGCGAAGUAUAGGGGGUGACACCUGCCCGGUGCUGGAAGGUUAAGGAGAGGGGUUAGCGUAAGCGAAGCUCUGAACUGAAGCCCCAGUAAACGGCGGCCGUAACUAUAACGGUCCUAAGGUAGCGAAAUUCCUUGUCGGGUAAGUUCCGACCCGCACGAAAGGUGUAACGAUUUGGGCACUGUCUCAACCAGAGACUCGGUGAAAUUAUAGUACCUGUGAAGAUGCAGGUUACCCGCGACAGGACGGAAAGACCCCGUGGAGCUUUACUGUAGCCUGAUAUUGAAUUUUGGUACAGUUUGUACAGGAUAGGCGGGAGCCAUUGAAACCGGAGCGCUAGCUUCGGUGGAGGCGCUGGUGGGAUACCGCCCUGACUGUAUUGAAAUUCUAACCUACGGGUCUUAUCGACCCGGGAGACAGUGUCAGGUGGGCAGUUUGACUGGGGCGGUCGCCUCCUAAAGUGUAACGGAGGCGCCCAAAGGUUCCCUCAGAAUGGUUGGAAAUCAUUCGUAGAGUGCAAAGGCAUAAGGGAGCUUGACUGCGAGACCUACAAGUCGAGCAGGGACGAAAGUCGGGCUUAGUGAUCCGGUGGUUCCGCAUGGAAGGGCCAUCGCUCAACGGAUAAAAGCUACCCCGGGGAUAACAGGCUUAUCUCCCCCAAGAGUCCACAUCGACGGGGAGGUUUGGCACCUCGAUGUCGGCUCAUCGCAUCCUGGGGCUGUAGUCGGUCCCAAGGGUUGGGCUGUUCGCCCAUUAAAGCGGUACGCGAGCUGGGUUCAGAACGUCGUGAGACAGUUCGGUCCCUAUCCGUCGUGGGCGUAGGAAAUUUGAGAGGAGCUGUCCUUAGUACGAGAGGACCGGGAUGGACGCGCCGCUGGUGUACCAGUUGUUCUGCCAAGGGCAUAGCUGGGUAGCUAUGUGCGGAAGGGAUAAGUGCUGAAAGCAUCUAAGCAUGAAGCCCCCCUCAAGAUGAGAUUUCCCAUAGCGUAAGCUAGUAAGAUCCCUGAAAGAUGAUCAGGUUGAUAGGUUCGAGGUGGAAGCAUGGUGACAUGUGGAGCUGACGAAUACUAAUAGAUCGAGGACUUAACCAU
rnacentral:rRNA from 1 species